rnacentral:rRNA from 1 species
UAAAGGAGCAUGGCGGCGUGCUAAUACAUGCAAGUCGAGCGAAUGGAUUAAGAGCUUGCUCUUAUGAAGUUAGCGGCGGACGGGUGAGUAACACGUGGGUAACCUGCCCAUAAGACUGGGAUAACUCCGGGAAACCGGGGCUAAUACCGGAUAACAUUUUGAACCGCAUGGUUCGAAAUUGAAAGGCGGCUUCGGCUGUCACUUAUGGAUGGACCCGCGUCGCAUUAGCUAGUUGGUGAGGUAACGGCUCACCAAGGCAACGAUGCGUAGCCGACCUGAGAGGGUGAUCGGCCUCACGGGGACUGGGACACGGGCUGUACUCCGA